rfam:Oryza nivara chromosome 3, whole genome shotgun sequence.
AAAAAAAACAAACCCUGUUUUCCGUGUCCAACGUUUGACCGUCCGUUUUAUUUAAAAAAAUUAUGAAAAAGAUUAAAAAGACAAGUCACGCAUAAAAUAUUAAUCAUGUUUUAUCAUCUAAUAAUAAUGAAAAUACGAAUUAUAAAAUUUUUUUAUAUAAGAUGGACAGUUAAUGUUGGACACGGAAAUUCAGGGUUUGACUUUUU